UAGGUGGCAAGCGUUAUCCGGAAUUAUUGGGCGUAAAGCGCGCGUAGGCGGUUUCUUAAGUCUGAUGUGAAAGCCCACGGCUCAACCGUGGAGGGUCAUUGGAAACUGGGAAACUUGAGUGCAGAAGAGGAGAGUGGAAUUCCAUGUGUAGCGGUGAAAUGCGCAGAGAUAUGGAGGAACACCAGUGGCGAAGGCGGCUCUCUGGUCUGUAACUGACGCUGAUGUGCGAAAGCGUGGGGAUCAAA
rnacentral:rRNA from 1 species